GAUGAACGCUGGCGGCGUGCCUAAUACAUGCAAGUCGAGCGAACAGACGAGGAGCUUGCUCCUCUGACGUUAGCGGCGGACGGGUGAGUAACACGUGGAUAACCUACCUAUAAGACUGGGAUAACUUCGGGAAACCGGAGCUAAUACCGGAUAAUAUAUUGAACCGCAUGGUUCAAUAGUGAAAGACGGUUUUGCUGUCACUUAUAGAUGGAUCCGCGCCGCAUUAGCUAGUUGGUAAGGUAACGGCUUACCAAGGCCACGAUGCGUAGCCGACCUGAGAGGGUGAUCGGCCACACUGGAACUGAGACACGGUCCAGACUCCUACGGGAGGCAGCAGUAGGGAAUCUUCCGCACAGGGCGAAAGCCUGACGGAGCAACGCCGCGUGAGUGAUGAAGGUCUUCGGAUCGUAAAACUCUGUUAUUAGGGAAGAACAAAUGUGUAAGUAACUAUGCACGUCUUGACGGUACCUAAUCAGAAAGCCACGGCUAACUACGUG
rnacentral:rRNA from 1 species